rnacentral:rRNA from 1 species
AUAACUAUUGGAAACGAUGGCUAAUACCGCAUAAUGCCUUCGGGCCGAAGAGGGGGACCUUCGGGCCUCUCGCGUCAGGAUAUGCCCAGGUGGGAUUAGCUAGUUGGUGAGGUAAUGGCUCACCAAGGCGACGAUCCCUAGCUGGUCUGAGAGGAUGAUCAGCUACACUGGAACUGAGACACGGUCCAGACUCCUACGGGAGGCAGCAGUGGGGAAUAUUGCACAAUGGGCGCAAGCCUGAUGCAGCCAUGCCGCGUGUAUGAAGAAGGCCUUCGGGUUGUAAAGUACUUUCAGCAGUGAGGAAGGUUCAUACGUUAAUAGCGUAUGGAUUUGACGUUAGCUGCAGAAGAAGCACCGGCUAACUCCGUGCCAGCAGCCGCGGUAAUACGGAGGGUGCGAGCGUUAAUCGGAAUUACUGGGCGUAAAGCGCAUGCAGGUGGUUUGUUAAGUCAGAUGUGAAAGCCCGGGGCUCAACCUCGGAAUUGCAUUUGAAACUGGCAGACUAGAGUACUGUAGAGGGGGGUAGAAUUUCAGGUGUAGCGGUGAAAUGCGUAGAGAUCUGAAGGAAUACCGGUGGCGAAAGCGGCCCCCUGGACAGAUACUGACACUCAGAUG